UACGUAGGGGGCAAGCGUUGUCCGGAAUCAUUGGGCGUAAAGCGCGUGUAGGCGGUUCGGUAAGUCUGCUGUGAAAGUCCAGGGCUCAACCCUGGGAUGCCGGUGGAUACUGUCGGACUAGAGUACGGAAGAGGCGAGUGGAAUUCCCGGUGUAGCGGUGAAAUGCGCAGAUAUCGGGAGGAACACCAAUUGCGAAGGCAGCUCGCUGGGACGUUACUGACGCUGAGACGCGAAAG
rnacentral:rRNA from 1 species